rnacentral:lncRNA from 1 species
CCAAAUCCGCGCCCACAUCUUCACCCUAUCUCUGCCGCGCCCAAACCACCAUAACUCCACCCUAAUCUCACUCAUGGUCCCCAUUUCUCUUCUCUCCUUCCUCCACGGUCCGUACCAAGCUUCAUCAUUGUCACGCAUUUUCUCUUCAUUUUUCUUUUUUCCGAAUUUGUCUCUUUUAGGCGAGAAUAGAAAAAUGGGGUGCGUAGGAUCGAGUUACACUUGAUCUACUCCCUCCAUUUGUCUUAUCUCGUCCAUUGAAAGGAUUUUCGAAUUUUUGAAUAAACAUUUUUCGGAUUUUUGUUUUGAGAUCCACACGGUUUUGGGUGUUGCUUGGAGAAUAGGAGAAGAAGAUUCGAGAAGGGAUAUAUAUUUGGGGGGUCAGGCAGAUUUGAGGGGAGUUUUUGAGAGAAAAUUCGGAAGAAAAGAGCUAGGGUUCCUUGAUUUUUAGUUCUCCUAAUUCUCAGUUGAUUCAUAGAUAAAAUAUUAGAGUUCUUUCUUAGUUUUUCUUUUAACUUUUGAAACAGAAAACAAAAAAAAAUUAGCUACUGAUUUGAUUUUUUUUUCAAAAAUGGAUUGCGUUUGAGGUGAACUCGAGUUCGCGUUCAAUUUCCGGUGCCGUCCGAGUUUUAGUUGGCAGUCCCUUCAUGUUCUUGUUUGGAAUUUGGAGUAAAAGCUUUGUAUACGCCGAAUCUUCUAUUCUAUCGAAAGAUUAAGCUUCAACAGGUUCAUUUUUGUCUCCCCUGACGCGUUUGAUUUUAUGUUAGAUUGAAUCUUCCUCCACUACUUGUGUUCUGUUUCAUUUUCGUGCUUAAUGUCUAUGGUUUCCUGUCUGUUCUGUUUGGACAUAUUGGAUUGCUAUAUGAUUUACUUUCGUGAUCAGUGAAUUAGUAUCGAAUUGCGUCGAGUUUCACAUGAAUAUGCAGUGUAUUCCCUUAAUUUUCUUGCUUGAAUUCUGACUGACUUUCCUAAUUCACUUGUCGAUAAAGAUCUAUUUGUGCCUCUUUGAUAUGGUUUGAGUUGGUUGUGGCUUUCAUCUUUAAGGAUUUCAAAAGAUAAACUAAAGGUUCUGCCGGUUUGAAUUUGUAGUUCGAAGUUAUGUUCAUUGUCAUGUUCUCUGACUUUUAUGUUUAAAUUGGCACUCGAUACUUAGUUGAUCUUCUGCUAUUAGAGAUACUGGGAUGUGUAGAACUCGAAGAACCUUGUUAGUGACGAGAAGUGUGACGACAACGAAAGUGUGUUUUAUGAGUUGAAAUCUUGAUGUACAGAUGUCAACUUUGCAUACUUGACAUUUGCUUCUUGUGAUUUUGCGCA